rnacentral:rRNA from 1 species
CUUGGUGUGGUUGUUGCUGGCCCUCUCGGGGGCAUGUGCACACCCACCAUCCUCAUCUCUCCACCUGUGCACCUCUUGUAGACCUGGAUUGACUUUCCGAGGCAACUCGGUCGGGAAGAUUGCUGCGCUCUGUGAGCCAGCUUUCUUUGCAUGUCCAGGCCUAUGUUUUUCAUAUACCCCUAUAGAAUGUAACAGAAUGUAUCAUUGGGCCUUGUGCCUAUAAACCUUAUACAACUUUCAGCAACGGAUCUCUUGGCUCUCGCAUCGAUGAAGAACGCAGCGAAAUGCGAUAAGUAAUGUGAAUUGCAGAAUUCAGUGAAUCAUCGAAUCUUUGAACGCACCUUGCGCUCCUUGGUAUUCCGAGGAGCAUGCCUGUUUGAGUGUCAUUAAAUUCUCAACCUUAUUAACUUUUGUUGAUAAUGGAUUGGAUUGUGGGGGUUUCUUUUGCUGGCUUCUUCACAGAGAUCAGCUCCCCUUAAAUGCAUUAGCUGGUGCCCCGCGUGGACCAUCUAUUGGUGUGAUAAUUAUCUACGCCGUGGAUGUCUGCAAUCAUAUGGGUUUCGCACUGCUUCUAACCGUCUGUUCAUUCGGACAAUACAUGACAAUUUGACCUCAAAUCAGGUAGGACUACCCGCUGAACUUAAGCAUAUCAAUAAGCGGAGGAAAAGAAACUAACAAGGAUUCCCCUAGUAACUGCGAGUGAAGCGGGAAAAGCUCAAAUUUAAAAUCUGGCGGUCUCCGGCCGUCCGAGUUGUAAUCUAGAGAAGUGUUAUCCGCGCUGGACCGUGUAC